GUGGGGAAUCUUGCGCAAUGGGCGAAAGCCUGACGCAGCCAUGCCGCGUGGAUGAUGAAGGUCUUAGGAUUGUAAAAUCCUUUCACCGGUGAAGAUAAUGACUGUAGCCGGAGAAGAAGCCCCGGCUAACUUCGUGCCAGCAGCCGCGGUAAUACGAAGGGGGCUAGCGUUGCUCGGAUUUACUGGGCGUAAAGGGCGCGUAGGCGGACAUUUAAGUCAGGGGUGAAAUCCCGGGGCUCAACCUCGGAACUGCCUUUGAUACUGGGUGUCUUGAGUAUGAGAGAGGUGUGUGGAACUCCGAGUGUAGAGGUGAAAUUCGUAGAUAUUCGGAGGAACACCAGUGGCGAAGGCGGCUCACUGGCUCGAUACUGACGCUGAGGUGCGAAAGCGUGGGGAGCAAACAGGAUUAGAAACCCGUGUAGUCC
rnacentral:rRNA from 1 species